rnacentral:rRNA from 1 species
UACGGAGGAUUCGAGCGUUAUCCGGAUUUAUUGGGUUUAAAGGGAGCGUAGGCGGGUUGUUAAGUCAGUUGUGAAAGUUUGCGGCUCAACCGUAAAAUUGCAGUUGAUACUGGCAUCCUUGAGUACAGUAGAGGUAGGCGGAAUUCGUGGUGUAGCGGUGGAAUGCUUAGAUAUCACGAAGAACUCCGAUUGCGAAGGCAGCCUGCUGGACUGUAACUGACGCUGAUGCUCGAAAGUGUGGGUAUCAAACAGG